GGGGCGAUGGCGAAAUGGCAGCCGCGACGGACUUAAAAUCCGUUGGAGUAAUCCUCCGUGUGGGUUCGACUCCCUCUCGCCCCA
rnacentral:tRNA from 1 species